rnacentral:rRNA from 1 species
UGGGGAAUAUUGCGCAAUGGGCGAAAGCCUGACGCAGCGACGCCGUGUGAGGGAAGAAGGCUUUCGGGUCGUAAACCUCUGUCGGGAGGGAAGAACCCCCAGGAGUCGAACAGGCUCUUGGGCUGACGGUACCUCCGAAGGAAGCACCGGCUAACUCCGUGCCAGCAGCCGCGGUAAUACGGAGGGUGCGAGCGUUAAUCGGAAUCACUGGGCGUAAAGCGCACGUAGGCGGUGCCGUAAGUCGGAUGUGAAAGCCCUCGGCUCAACCGGGGAACUGCAUUCGAUACUGCGGUGCUUGAGUGCCGGAGAGGGUGGCGGAAUUCCAGGUGUAGGAGUGAAAUCCGUAGAUAUCUGGAGGAACACCAGUGGCGAAGGCGGCACCUGGCCGGCAACUGACACUGAGGUGCGAAAGCGUGGGGAUCAAACAGGAUUAGAUACCCUGGUAGUCCACGCUGUAAACGAUGGAUACUAGGUGUCGGGGGGUUUACCCUCGGUGCCGCAGUUAACGCUUAAGUACCCGCCUGGGGAGUACGGUCGCAA